GCCAAGUCUCUCAGAAUCUCCUGGAAACUACACAUCCCCUACCACCCUCAGUCAUUGGGUAAAGUUGAAUAGGCUCACAGCAUCCUCAAAGACCAUUUGGCUAAACUUAUCAUCGAGGUAAAACUCUCCUAGCCCACAUUCCUGCCUCUUGCUCUAGCCUGAGUCCGAGCUACCCCAUGGGGGCCUAUGGGCCUCAGUCCCUUUGAAUUGCUAUACAGCCAGUCCUUCCUGGUCUCCCAUAAUCUCCCAGUACAGCCACCUCCCCUAGCCUCCUACCUCCCCUAUCUCUCUCUCCCCCACCACUUACUCAGGGAGCAUGCAGACCACACCCUCCCAGUUAUUGGAGAGAGGAGACAGAGAGGAGAGAGGAGACAGGAGACAGAGAGGAGACAAAGAGGAGAGAGGAGACAGAAAGGAGAGAGAAGACAGAGAGGAGAGAGGAGACAGAGAGGAGAGAGGAGACAGAGGAGAGAGGAGACAGAGGGGAGAGAGGAGACAGAGGAGAAACAGGGAGGAGACAGGAGACAGAGAGGAUACAGAGGAGACAUAGGAGAGACAGAGAGGAGAGAGGAGACAGAGAGGAGAGAAGAGACAAAAAGCAGAGAGGAGGCAGGAGAAAGGACACAAAGAGGAGAGAGGAGACAGAGAGAGAGGAGAGACAGAAAGGAGAGAGGAAACAGGAGACAGGAGAGAGGAGACAGGAGACAGGAGAGAGGAGAAAGGAGACAGAGAGGAGAGAGGAGACAGAGAGGAGAGAAGAGACAGAAAGGAGAGAGGAGACAGGAGAAAGGAGACAAAGAGGAGAGAGGAGAGAGGAGACAGAGAGGAGAGAGGAGACAGAGAGAGAGAGGAGAGACAGAAAGGAGAGAGGAAACAGGAGACAGGAGAGAGGAGAUAGGAGACAGGAGAGAGGAGAAAGGAGACAGAGAGGAGAGAGGAGACAGAGGAGAGACAGAGAGGAGAGAGAAGACAGAGAGGAGAGAGGAGACAGAGAGGAGAGAAGAGACAGAAAGGAGAGAGGAGACAGGAGACAGACAGGAGAAAGGAGACAAAGAGGAGAGAGGAGAGAGGAGACAGAGAGGAGAGAGGAGACAGAGAGAGAGAGGAGAGACAGAAAGGAGAGAGGAGACAGGAGACAGGAGAGAGGAGAAAGAAGACAGAGAGGAGAGAGAAGACAGAGAGAGAGGAGGGAGACAGAGAGGAGACAGAGGAGAGAGGAGAGAGACAGAAAGGAGAAAGGAGAGAGACAAAGAGAAGAGAGGAGACAGAGGGGAGAGGGGAGAGAGGAAAGAGGAGACAGGAGACAAAGAGGAGACAGAGAGGAGAGAGAAGACAGAGAGGAGAGAGAAGACAGAGAGGAGAGAGAAGACAGAGAGGAGAGAGGAAACAUUCUCAAAAUC
rnacentral:lncRNA from 13 species